CCUGACUGCUAUCGGAUUGAUACUAAGCCAUGCGAGUCAUUGUAGCAAUACAAGGCAGACGGCUCAGUAACGCGUAGUCAACCUAACCUAUGGACGGGAAUAACCUCGGGAAACUGAGAAUAAUGCCCGAUAGAACACUAUGCCUGGAAUGGUUUGUGUUCCAAAUGAUUUAUCGCCGUAGGAUGGGACUGCGGCCUAUCAGUUUGUUGGUGAGGUAAUGGCCCACCAAGACUAUUACAGGUACGGGCUCUGAGAGGAGUGGCCCGGAGAUGGGUACUGAGACACGGACCCAGGCCCUAUGGGGCGCAGCAGGCGAGAAAACUUUGCAAUGUGCGAAAGCACGACAAGGUUAAUCCGAGUGGUUUCUGCUAAAGGAACCUUUUGUCGGUCCUAGAAACACCGAUGAAUAAGGGGUGGGCAAGUUCUGGUGUCAGCCGCCGCGGUAAAACCAGCACCUCAAGUGGUCAGGAUGAUUAUUGGGCCUAAAGCAUCCGUAGCCUGCUUUGUUAGUUUUCGGUUAAAUCUGUACGCUCAACGUACAGGCUGCCGGGAAUACUGCAAAGCUAGGGAGUGGGAGAGGUAGACGGUACUCGGUAGGAAGGGGUAAAAUCCUUUGAUCUAUUGAUGACCACCUGUGGCGAAGGCGGUCUACCAGAACACGUCCGACGGUGAGGGAUGAAAGCUGGGGGAGCAAACCGGAUUAGAUACCCGGGUAGUCCCAGCUGUAAACCAUGCAAACUCAGUGAUGCAUUGGCUUGUGGCCAAUGCAGUGUUGCAGGGAAGCCGUUAAGUUUGCCGCCUGGGAAGUACGUACGCAAGUAUGAAACUUAAAGGAAUUGGCGGGGGAGCACCACAAGGGGUGAAGCCUGCGGUUC
rnacentral:rRNA from 1 species